AUCGCGAGCGCACGCGUACGCUCGUGUUUCAAUUCGUAUAAACAUGCAGUAUGAUAUUUGACAUUUAAAGUAAGAUGGCUGUUAUUAUGUUAUCGGUGUUAACACUUUUCAGGUAAAUACGCCACUUAUUCCUUAUACACGUAUUCUAAGUUAGUCCAUAGUUUAAGUCGCACCCUUCGCUUUCCACUUGUCUUUUCCGUCCGCGACGGAAUUUGCUAGGAGGACCCAUUUUGGUCGCUUUAUUAUCGAUUAUUGAUGUCUUUAGUUACCUGCAUCCGUGCUUACCUGGCAGAGUGACGUAUUUAAAUGCGAGGUUAGCGCUGAUCAUCGCCGCUUUUUUUUUCGGCAAUUACGACAGCCUCCGCCAAUGGCGGCAAAAAUUCAAAAAGUCCGCCCGAUUGCCUUUCGUUAUCACCCCGCCGCCGUUUCGCUUUAAAGGCGUAGAGGACAAAAAUACGAUGAAUUUUUUAUAACUCGCCCCUUUUAGAGAAAUUAAAAUCGAUUGCAAUUAGUGUAAAUACUUACACUCGUUUUACAUGGGCAUGUAAUACCUAACAGUAAAUAUACCUAUUCGUACUUGUUGUUGACUUGUAGAAUUAUCUUACCUGCUCUAAUUUAACAGAGAAAAAAACAGGCGAAAUAUUUCAUUUGCUUAAACGUUGAAAAUAACUGUAACUAGGAAUUAUACCAAAUAAACAGAUUUAUCAUAAUUACCUCCGCGAUACGUUAUCUAUUGGUUUUGUCUUAUCAAAUUAAUACAGCAUUGAUAAGACGGCCGUGUUGUUUUCGUUAUUUAUAGAAACCGAGUACUUAAUUAUUUGAAUUUUUCAAGUUCGCUGAGAGCGCGUUGCUUACAUUGUGUGUUAAUUAGACGGGGUUAUCCCAUACUUUGACAUUGUCGCUUGUAUUUUCAAUGCUAUCGCAUGUUUUGAACGUAUGGAAAAUAUAUUGCGGCCUUUUUCGGGGGGUUACGCAAGCUUCUAACGGGGCGACGCAAAUUAUCUCGGCGCGAAAAAACGGAAUUUCAGGUUGUAUGCGCAUCUUCGUUCCGUUUUGGGCACUAAAUUUUGGAUACCUAAACAUGGACAAUAAGGCAAGGCGGAGAUUACGAACAUGUGAAGAAUGUCGACUCACGUGAAGUUAGCAAUGGCAUAUCUAUAAAUAUGCGAAACCCAAUACCAGAUUAAUCCUCCCCGGGGCCGUACCUAACCCGUGUGAAGAUAGCAGUUACAGCCAGCAGUAAAUUUUGCAUAUUUCACGUGACGUUAGCAAAAACGGUGCAAAAAUAUGCAUGUGAAGUUGUGAAUGGAUAAGUCGUGUUUAGUGAUGUUUGGACACCUCAUUGGCCACCUACCAUAAAAUGUACACAUUCAAUUAUGCCAAUAAAAUGUAUGGACAUA